UAGAGUUUGAUCAUGGCUCAGAUAAGUCGUAACAAGGUAGCCGUACGUCGUAACAAGAUAGCCGUAGAGUUUGAGCAUGGCUCAGGAAGUCGUAACAAGGUAGCCGUAAAGUUUGAUCAUGGCUCAGCCUUGACUUAAAAAAUGGAGAAGUCGUAACAAGGUAGCCGUAAGUCGUAACAAGGUAACCGUAAGUCGUAACAGGGUAACCGUAGAGUUUGAUCCUGGCUCAGGAUAAGUCGUAACAAGGUAACCGUAAGUCGUAACAAGGAACCGUAGAGUUUGAUCCUGGCUCAGAAGUCGUAACAAGGUAACCGUAA
rnacentral:rRNA from 1 species